rnacentral:rRNA from 1 species
AACGAACGCUGGCGGCAUGCCUAACACAUGCAAGUCGAACGAGACCUUCGGGUCUAGUGGCGCACGGGUGCGUAACGCGUGGGAAUCUGCCCUUGGGUUCGGAAUAACAGUUAGAAAUGACUGCUAAUACCGGAUGAUGACGUAAGUCCAAAGAUUUAUCGCCCAAGGAUGAGCCCGCGUAGGAUUAGCUUGUUGGUGAGGUAAAGGCUCACCAAGGCGACGAUCCUUAGCUGGUCUGAGAGGAUGAUCAGCCACACUGGGACUGAGACACGGCCCAGACUCCCACGGGAGGCAGCAGUGGGGAAUAUUGGACAACGGGCGAAAGCCUGAUCCAGCAAUGCCGCGUGAGUGAUGAAGGCCUUAGGGUUGUAAAGCUCCUUUACCCGGGAUGAUAAUGACAGUACCGGGAGAAUAAGCCCCGGCUAACUCCGUGCCAGCAGCCGCGGUAAGAC